UUCGCAAUGCCCGAAAGGGUGACGAUGCGACGCCGCGUGAGCGAAGAAGGCCCUAGGGUUGUAAAGCUCUGUCGAGGGUUAUGAAAUAUAGAUGGGUUAAUACCCCAUUUAUUUGACAAAAGCCCAAAAGGAAGCCACGGCCAACUCUGUGCCAGCAGCCGCGGUAAUACAGAGGUGGCGAGCGUUGUUCGGUAUUAUUGGGCGUAAAGAGCACGUAGGUGGUUUUGUAAGUCAGGUGUGAAAGCCUUCUGUUCAAAGGAAGAACGGCAUCUGAAACUGCAGAUCUUGAGUGUAGGAGGGGAGAGUGGAACUUCUGGUGGAGCGGUGAAAUGCGUAGAUAUCAGAAGGAACGUCGGCGGCGAAAGCGACUCUCUGGCCUAUUACUGACACUGAGGUGCGAAAGUUAGGGGAGCAAACGGGAUUAGAUACCCCGGUAGUCCUAACCGUAAACGAUGGGCACUAAGUAGAGGGGUUUU
rnacentral:rRNA from 1 species